UGGCUCAGUGGAUAGACCGUCGGUCUGCAGACUGAAAGGUCCCAGGUUCGAUUUCAGCCAAGCACUGUGCCUUGGUUGCGGGCACAUCCCCCGUGGGGGGGGUGCAGGAAGCAGCUGAUCCAUGUUUCUCCUUCAUCUAUGUUUCUAGCUCUCUAUCCCUCUCCCUUCCUCUCUGUAAAAAAAAUUAAAAUAUAUUUUAAAAAUAUAUAUAUCACUUCCCUCUUUAUCUAGCUUAGAAUUCAUAGUCUAUCAAUAUAAUCAUCUCACAUACACUUUCCCUUUCAAGUCUAAUAACCCCUCCUGCCCUGCACCUAUUACCCCCCA